GGUUUGUCUGUGUGAUUUGUUUCUCUCUGACUAUGUAAUUUGUUUCUCUGACUAUUGACAAACAAUAGUCAGAGAGAAACAGAUUACAUUGACAAACC
rnacentral:pre_miRNA from 1 species